UACGUAGGGGGCGAGCGUUGUCCGGAUUUAUUGGGCGUAAAGAGCGUGUAGGCGGCCAGGUAGGUCUGCUGUGAAAACUCGAGGCUCAACCUCGAGACGUCGGCGGAAACCAUCUGGCUAGAGUCCGGAAGAGGAGAGUGGAAUUCCUGGUGUAGCGGUGAAAUGCGCAGAUAUCAGGAAGAACACCCGUGGCGAAGGCGGCUCUCUGGGCAGUAACUGACGCUGAGGGACGAAAGCUAGGGGAGCAAACGGG
rnacentral:rRNA from 1 species